AACGUAGGUUCCGAGCGUUAUCCGGAUUUACUGGGCGUAAAGCGUGUUCAGGCGGCUUCGCAAGUCGGGCAUGAAAUCUCUCGGCUCAACCGGGAGGGGCUGUCCGAUACUGUCGGGCUUGAGGGCAGUAGAGGGUGGUGGAAUUCCGGGUGUAGUGGUGAAAUGCGUAGAUAUCCGGAGGAACACCAGUGGCGAAAGCGGCCACCUGGACUGUACCUGACGCUGAGGAGCGAAAGCGUGGGUAGCAAACAGG
rnacentral:rRNA from 1 species